CAUUCGCGUUCUCACCUCAUUUCUGUGGCGUUUCUGUUUCUGGUUCGAGUUCUUCCUGUUUCUUGCCGAACUAAGGCACUCCUGCUCAAGGACACCUCAGCAAGGAUAAGCUGCACCUCUUCGACAGUUACACUUGAAACAAUGCAAGUCAACGUGUAAAUUAGACCAUUCUAACAUUUGUAAAGUCUCAUUUAUGAUUGGAAAAAAGAAAAAACAGUGAGACAUGAAAUAUGGGCUUACUUAAAAAUAAAACAUUAAAAAUAAAGACAGAGUCCAGCGCUGCAGCCCAUCAUCGGGUGACCAGAAGGACAGGCAGGCUCGCUAACGCGGGCGGCUGCACUGCCGCGCACAGGGGAACACGCUUCUGUGACAUCUCGACUCGCACAAGCGAGAACCCAAAGCCCAGCGGUGCCACCAGCCUUUCCAAGACCUGCUGUGCUGGGCUCCGUGGAAGGGAAUGGACUUUGGUUGGCUGGUGGUUCUAAAGAGAGCCAACAGUCCUGUUGCUGAUGACUUCACCCCGGAGAUCCGUCUGAGGAAGGUUCAUAAAACGCAGCUUCUUGGAGUGAGGAAGACUGCCGUUUUGGAAGGUCUCUUUCCAGCCGAAUUCAGAAUUACGCGCUGUAGGUUAAGGAACAAGGACAUUAUCCAAGCAAUAACUCCCCAAAACCACAUCAGGACUCACUGUCGCUGGUCACAAGGCUGCUAGUGCUUCUUGGGAAAGCAGCAGACGUGCAGGGGCAAGGCCGAUCCGUGCAGGUGCCUGCGCCUCAGUCAGCUCUUCCACUACUAGCCUGAGACUUUGGAAACUUGCUGACUGAAAAAGCACAAAGUGUUCAUCAUUAGAACAGGCUGUUUCUUCUGAACAUCUGGACUCUUACAAACAGCUGGCUUUCCUGUUUCCGUUCAAAAUAAUUUCCACUCUAUCGUAUAACAGUAAGCACACAGAAACAGAAGAUAACUCCUUCAGGAAGGUAAAAUAAAGAGAGAGAAGGAAACUUUGCACAGGCGCACCAUGCUGUGGAACAGGCUUCAUUUUUAGUACUUGUGUUAAAAUAUUUCGUAUUAAAAAUACGGAAGGAGCGUCGGCGCAUUCUCCAUGUUAGCUCUAAAGUCCACUCUACAAGUACCUAAGGAAAACGCAGACACACAUCGCAGACGCACCGUCUACCCGCAGAGCGCCCUGGGUUCUGUCCGUCCGUCCUGUUCUUUCACGGCAGAAGAUGCGGCGGCCGCGGUGAGACGGCGGCAGCGGACACCCUGCUGGCAGAGGGAAACCCUCCAGCACUAAGAUGGGUGGAAUCUGAACCUUCCUUUAUUUAUUUAUUUUAAUGAAGGCUACAACGGAGUGGAGGAAAACAAGCAUAUUUUGCAGCACCUCUGGACGAGCUGUGGAUACGGGCCACCAGAGCCUUUGUGGUUUGUAGAGAACUGGGCGCCUUUUUAACUCCUCGGAAGCCCGAGUUUCCCCACAACGCGCUUUCCCAUGCACAGAUAAAAAGUAUCAAUAUCCAAAUUCCACAGAAUACACCAACCCACCUACAGCGCUGGGGUCACCACACGCCUUGCGUAGGCAGCAUCCGAACAAACCGCAGCACACCACCGCUGGGAAGAGCCUUCUCCCUGCUGAUGGGGUCUUACCCGCGUCCCAGGCCGGUCAGAUGGUCUGUGCUCCCUUCCAGGAACCCCCUGGUGCCGGCGUAAGGUCCCAGAGAUCCUGGGACCCAUGCACUACGUUCUGGGGAGGACUGAACGACAAAGCAGAAAUAAAUCGCAUAAGAAUCCUUCUCUGAAAUACGGUAGAUCAACAAUGACAGUUGUAAGUCACGGAGACUCCUCCUGUUCUCUCUGCUUCUCACAACAGUGACAAACCAGUGCCAAAGGACAGAAAACACCGGGACAGGCUGGAAACAACAACCAACCCCACGCGUCAGAAACGGUACCAGGCACCUUCGCUAACACUUGAGUGAGCCGAGCAAAAAUAACUUACAAAACCCCUCAGGAGAGCUGACAAGAAAGACAAAGGAGCCACGGAGAGCGAUACCGAGGUCCUCCCGAGAACACCGUGCAGGUCACAGAAGGUGCUUUGAAGGGACGAGCUUGGACGAGGCCACUCGUCACACAGGUGGAUUCUGGUGCCCGGAAGGAAAACGGAGGGGACUCGCCAGAGGGCACACGAAGGGCCCGGAGGGAUGCGGGAGCUGAUGGCGGUGCCCGCCAGGGCUCCAGGGCACGCUGCCGUUGGAGAGCUCCUGCAGCAACUGGAGCAACAUGAAGGGCUCCGGAUCGCAAGAAAGGCAAACAGGGGUCUCUGGGCUGCAAAAUAUACAAACAGGUCCCCAGGCAACAAGAACAUGGCGGGGGCAGCUACAAGGAAGGUAAAUGGGGGCUCUGAGGUGCCCCAAAAGACAAGCUCAGCUGUCCUGAGAGGAGCAGACAGAAAUCGGAGGAGUUCUGAGGGGAUCGGGGGCAAAAGAGGGGUCUUGAGGGGAAAAGAGGGAAAAAUGAGGCCUCUGGGACGUGCCAAGAGCAAACGGGGAAGUUUUGAGGGGAAGAGAGAAAAGAGGGGAAUUUAACGGGGCAAAAGGUCAAACAGGCACCGUGAUGCCACCAACGAGCCUGCAGGGACCCAAAGGCAGGCAGGGUGAUCGCAGAGGAACUGGGAGGAAACGGGUUUCUGAGGGAACCGGGUGGGAGUAAAAAGCUCAUGAGAGGUCCAGAGGCAAACGGAUGUGUCCUGAGGAGAGCAAAUCCAAAGCGAAGACCAGCAGCAGCAGCAUAAAGGUAAAUUGGGCUUUAAUUCUGAUCGUGUACUUAAAAGAGUCUCUCAGGCCUAUGAAUGACUGGUCCUUUUCAGGAAGGACACACGUUUUUACUUCAAAGACUGAAGACUGCACUGAACAGAAAGUGGAUUGAGUCCCAGGACAAGCCAUCCACACACGAAACAACACCGCCACACAUCGAUUCCCAUCGUGUCCCAUUCAUUAGAUUUCAACGGGCACCCAGGUGCUCAAAAGUUAAUUAUACCGACAGCACGUAUUACUGAAAAUGUAGUUAAACAAAUAAAGGGCUAUUUUCAACGUGCCUAUAAAAUUAGAACAAAGAAACAGAAGUUAAACACUUGACCCUAAAGAAAGUAACAGGCAGCUCUUAUUUAUCAUAGACUAAAGUUAAUUCUUUUACUUGAAACGUCUGCAGCUAUCAAGAGACCAAUUCAGGAACAGGGCAUGCUCUGUUAACUGUGAUUUUCCAUCAGCUGCUCUGCACUGGCAGCACAUUUGCCUUUUCUCCAGGUCUGAUGUGGAAUAUCUGUGGUGUCCUCGAACUCACACACAUUUCUCCCCAACGUCCCAGCCCAUACGUGCGAUCACCUGAGCAGCACGUGGAAUCGACCGCCCAGGAGUUUCUUCACCUGACGCGGGAUGCGGCACCGGCAAAAGAGGAGGCAAAUUGGGAGGUGAUUUCGGCUCUGCCUGCUGCAUGCUGCAGUCCGGGCUUUCGACAACGCUGUAAAUGAACUGCUGGCAAAAAAUUGAGUAUUAGGAUUAAACACCAUAGCUGUACAUUGUAUAAAUA